CACUCCUGUAAUCCCAGCAGCUUCGGAGGCUGAGGGAGGAGGAUUGCAAGGCCAGCCUCAGCAACUUUGUGAGGCCCAAUUUCAAAAUACAAAGGGCUGGCGUGGGGCUCAGGGCUGGAGCACCCUGGGUUCAAUCCCCAGGACCAACCAAGAAUGCACUCAGGAGGCUUCCCUGGAUGGACUGAUGGAUGAGUGAAAGAAAGACAUGUUCUAAACCAUCAGCCCUCUCACCUCAACCCCAGAACCAUGUCCCCAGCUAUGGUGGGGCACAUCCCAGUGACCACAGCUUCCCCGGGGACACGUCCUGCAGCCUAGCCGGUACACCCCACCCUGUGACGUGAUGAGCAUCAUUCUAUUGGUGUAUGUUAUUGACUCUUUUCAUUUUGAUCAGUUCGCAGUCUUCCCUCUGGAAGGAGCCUCCAGGGAGCAGAGAUUUUCGUUUGCUUCACUGUUGAAUUCCAGGGCCCACCUGGGGCCCAACACAUAGUAAGUGCUCAAUAAACACGUCUUGAACCGAUGAGCGGAUCUCACCACGGACAAACCCACAGAUCUCAGACUCAGUGUAUCCAAAAUAGCCCUUUGUCCUCCUCUGGGGACAUCCUCCUUUUGGUUCCUGGUCUUGAUUGCUAAACCUACCCAGCAGGCAUCACCAGGCCCGUGCCUUCCUUCCUCAUCUGCAGAUUCUGGCACCGACUGUCUGUCCCUGUGACCCUUCGCCCUGGCUCCUCCAUGCACCACAUGCACCACACCGUCUCCUGCUUGCAGCCCCUGGGCUGAUCCUAACACUGCACCAGGACCAGGUGGUGACAGAGUCUCCCUCCUGCUCCUAAGGGGACACAGGUCCCGGAGGUCCUGAAGGUGAUGUGAGGUGGCCUUGGGCAUCAGUUCGGGAAACUUGUUCCUUUUUCAGCCUCUCUCUCCCUCGGGCCUUCCGCAGGCUGCCAGCAAGUCGCCAGAAUUGAAAUUACUCGGUUUUGGUUUCACUGUGGGCUCUGCAGUUCCGUCUGUUUAUGGUCAAGGAGGCUGGCGCUCCAUUUGUGAAGGGACAAGGUCUCCUCUGAAAAGAAAGCGAAAUAGGUCAACCAACACGAAGGGCUCAGGAAUCAGGGUGGAGGGGAAAUGCAAGUAUGGCCCAAGUGACCUGUCGUGCAGCGGGAUGGGCCCGGGAAGUGUCCAGAGCUCCUGGCAACCAGGUCCCGGUGCCCGGCUGCCCCUCAGUGUGACACCUGUGACACCUGCAGCCACGCUGGGACACGGCCCUGGCCCCAUUCCCAGGGCACCUCGUGCAGUUUCGACCCCAGGCCUGUCUCUUCACUCUGGCCUGUCCCUCACGCUCCUCCCGGACCACUCUGUGCCCCUGUCGCCCAGCACGGUCCUCCCUGGGGAAGGACCCUCGCCACUCCCAGCCCCGCACGUGGCUUCCGCGGACCUGAUGUCACUCUGCGCUCCCACAGCGCGCGACUCAGGCGCGGCCAGUCAGAGUGCUCCUUCCCCAAUCCGUGUAGGGAUUGGCUCCCAGGCGCUCAUGUGAUUAAAUCUGACCAAUGAGAGCCGUUCCCUGAUCCAUCCCGGGAACUAUCACUUUCUUUCGCGAUUCGUAGCUGAUAGCUGAUAAGGCUCCACCUCUGGGAGUCCCCACCCCACCGCACACACUUUUUUACUACCACUGAGGCUCCCUUAUCCUACUUGGGGUUGAGAAGCAAGCAGAUUCCAGAGGCGGAGGCUUCCAACCUGCAGAAAAAAAUUUGAGCACCUUGAUCCAUCCAUGCCUGAAACUACACUCUAAUUUUUUUUUUAAUCACUUGCAACUACAAGGCUCCUGGUCAAAGAAUGAGUUUAAGCUUUAUUGACAUAAAAUUCAUAUAGCAUAUAAGUCACCCUUUCAACCAUUUAAAAAUGCAUGAUCCAUAACACACUGGGUUCUAGUAGAGUCACAGUGUUGUACCCAUGUCACCACUGUGUGAUUCCAGAAUCUCACAACACAACCACCAUCUCCAGAAACAAAAAUAAAAACCAUGAUCCUUCUCACCCACUCCCAACUGCCCUCCCCCAGUGCAUGUCACCACCUGAAAUAUCUCAGGCAUUUCUCUGAGCACCCCCUCAAUACAGGGCCGGGUUGUUCUCCCCUCUGUGCACACUCCCCGUGAUUUUUAAAUCUUAUUUAUUUUUAAUCAUGAAACAUUUCAAACAGACAGAAAGUCAAUCCCUGUGUGUAUCUCCUACUACAUUUUUGAUGUCGGGAACUGGGACUUGAUUUCUUCUUGUGUCCCCAUUUCCCAGCACAGGGUCUGCACCAGACAAGGUGUUCAGUCAAGCAAAACAAGAAGCCAACCCGGGCCCACCCUCACCGUCUCAGCCCUAGGCUGAACCAGAGCUUAAAGAUUCUGCCAACGUUUGUUGAUUGGCUGGUUGACCUCCUUAGUAAACGUCAGGCCCCUCCUCCUGCCUGUGUGUGCAGGGCUGUGGUGGGGCUGGGCAGGAGGGACUUUAUCUGAGCCGAUCACUUCCCACACUCUGACAUUUAAUUAAACCCAGAACUAAACUGACAGUUGUUUACCAUAGCUGGGUACCCCCCAAAAUUCCCCCACUUCAGAGGCUUACAGGUAGAAUAGUGGGGAGGCUGAGCAGAUCAGGGACGCAGGGCCCGUGGCUUCUCUGUCUCUGUGUUGUCCCAUCUGUGCAGCACAGCUGAUGACGCUGAAUACCCUGUGGGGUCACGGGGGAUUGGCUGAGUGAACCCCUGCUGUCCUUGAGGAAGUCUGCUGCCCAGGGUGCUUAGCUGCGUUCUCCCAGCGCUGCACGAGGCCACCCAGCCACGGCCCCCGGGGCUUACCCACCGCCUCGCUCCACUGCAUCUCAGGUUAGGCGCUGCCUCCUCCAGGAAGUCCUCCGGCUCCGCAGACCUUGGGUAGGUACUGCUCUUUGGGCUUCUUGGUGCCCAUGUGUCCCAUCCGCACCAGCAGGGACAGUCUCAGAUACCCCCAGGUGCCCCGAGCCCGGCACAGGGCAGAUGCCCAGAGUGCAGGCUCUCGUGGUGCACACCUGUAAUCCCGGGGACUCGGGAGGCUGAGGCUGGAGGAUCGCAAGUUUGAGGCCAGCCUUGGCAACUUAGUGAGACCCUGUCUCAAAAUGGAAGAUAAAAAGGGUGGAGUCCAGAGGCAGGGCCCCCUGGCUUCGAUCCCCAGUGCCCCCCCCCCAGAAAAAGAGAAAGAAUAUACCAGAACAUGCAUCGAAGGAUAACAAGAGCUUUUGACUUGUCCCUGAUGCUUCUGAGACCGUCCUGACCCAGGCACCCAAGCUCUGGCUCCGUCCUCCCUGUGUCCCGGGGAGGACAGGUGUGCAGAGCCCCGGAGCAGGUGGGGAGCAGCAGAGGCUGCGACUGGGGCUCUGGUUUGUCCCUUGCUGGUUGACCCUGGGUUUGGGCUGCGGGGGCACCGUGACUACGCUGUGGGGGCCACAUGAAUGGCUGCUUGGGUCUGCCCAGGGCCAGCUGUCCUGCCACCAGGUUUUGUGUGAACGCCUCCCUCCUCCUGGGCUGCUCUUCCCCUCCUGGCUGACCGCAGCUCCCUUUUGUGGCCCGAGGUCUGUGCUCCCCACCUCCCCCGCGCCCCAGGCCCUGAGCUCCAGCUGUCAGUAAGUGCUUGUUGACUGACUGACUGACUGUGCUUGGUAAAUAUUUUUGUGAGACUUUGACCUUUUCCCAUGUGAAUGUGGGGAAACCACGGCAGCUUGAACUUUCAGUAAAGCAGAGGCCCUUUGAGGAAGGGAGGCUGCACCGAAACCCAGCCGGCUGCCUGGAAGCCGAGUCAUCGCGGCCCAUCCGCCCUGGGCUGCAGCCUCUUGGAAGAGCCGCUGUCCCUGGGCCAGCCCUGCCGGGAGGAGGUCGGUGACUGAGGAAAGAGCUUG
rnacentral:lncRNA from 1 species